rnacentral:rRNA from 1 species
UGAGGAAUAUUGGUCAAUGGGCGGGAGCCUGAACCAGCCAAGCCGCGUGAGGGAAGAAGGCCCUAUGGGUCGUAAACCUCUUUUGUCAGGGAACAAAAGCGAGUAUGUAUACUGGUCUGAGUGUACCUGAAGAAAAAGCAUCGGCUAACUCCGUGCCAGCAGCCGCGGUAAUACGGAGGAUGCGAGCGUUAUCCGGAUUUAUUGGGUUUAAAGGGUGCGUAGGCGGCGGUGCAAGUCAGCGGUAAAAGCCCGGGGGCUCAACCCCGGCGAGCCGUUGAAACUGCAGUGCUAGAGAAGGCGAGAGGUACGCGGAAUGCGCAGUGUAGCGGUGAAAUGCUUAGAUAUUGUGCAGAACUCCGAUUGCGAAGGCAGCGUACUGGCGCCUGACUGACGCUGAGGCACGAAAGCGUGGGGAUCGAACAGGAUUAGAUACC